AUAUUAUAAUAUUAUAAACACGUCCUACCAUCUAGUCCUACUAUCUAAUCAUGUUCAGUAAAAUU
rnacentral:sRNA from 1 species